AGCUCUACGAUUAUGGUCUGUUCCAGUCAACCUUCUGAGGGCCACAUGGUAGUGGUGGGCAGGACCAGAGGCAAAAGUAGUCACAGCAAAAGUGUUGUUUUUGCCUUUGUGGUGUAGGCUAGUUUCCACAUACUCUUCCACACCCCUCUCUCUCCUGCAUCCAGAGAAGCCAGCAGCAUUAUCAGAGUACAAGGAUGCACUAGCCAAACAAACACAUAUGGGGUCUGAAGAAGGGCUGGUGAGGAGUGGUGUGGUGACCUGGGGAAAGCUCAAAGGUCCAGACAGAGAGACCUGGCGGGCCGCAUUUGGCUCCCAGACUUGAGUCCAGCUACCUUACUUGAACAGUUUGUUGCUGGCUAUAUCUUUGAGUUCAAGUAAUCAUUUCGUGCCGUCAACCAGACCUGAACCCAGUUUGGAAAGAUCACUAGGACCACAGCAAGAAUGUGGAUUGAAGGAGGCUUGUGGGAGAUAAACAGAGCUCAGAUCUGAUGGGUCUUUCCCAGUCAUCGGGAACAACUAAGGCAGCCAUUAUCCUACAAGAGAAAGCU